GUGAGGAAUAUUGGUCAAUGGGCGAGAGCCUGAACCAGCCAAGUCGCGUGAGGGAAGAAUGGUCUAUGGCCUGUAAACCUCUUUUGUCAAGGAAGAAUAAAUCGCACGGGUGCGAUCUUGCCAGUACUUGACGAAUAAGCAUCGGCUAACUCCGUGCCAGCAGCCGCGGUAAUACGGGGGAUGCGAGCGUUAUCCGGAUUUAUUGGGUUUAAAGGGCGCGUAGGCGGGACGUCAAGUCAGCGGUAAAAGACUGCAGCUAAACUGUAGCACGCCGUUGAAACUGGCGCCCUCGAGACGAGACGAGGGAGGCGGAACAAGUGAAGUAGCGGUGAAAUGCAUAGAUAUCACUUGGAACCCCGAUAGCGAAGGCAGCUUCCCAGGCUCGAUCUGACGCUGAUGCGCGAGAGCGUGGGUAGCGAACAGGAUUAGAUACCCCAGUAGUCC
rnacentral:rRNA from 1 species